ACUCCUACGGGAGGCAGCAGUGGGGAAUUUUGGACAAUGGGGGCAACCCUGAUCCAGCCAUGCCGCGUGAGUGAAGAAGGCCUUCGGGUUGUAAAGCUCUUUCGGCCGGAACGAAAUCGCGUACGUGAAUAACGUGCGUGGAUGACGGUACUGGAAGAAGAAGCACCGGCUAACUACGUGCCAGCAGCCGCGGUAAUACGUAGGGUGCGAGCGUUAAUCGGAAUUACUGGGCGUAAAGCGUGCGUAGGCGGUUUCGCAAGUCAGAUGUGAAAUCCCCGGGCUUAACCUGGGAACUGCGUUUGAAACUAYGGAGCUAGAGUGUGGCAGYGGGGGGUGGAAUUCCACGUGUAGCAGUGAAAUGCGUAGAUAUGUGGAGGAACACCGAUGGCGAAGGCAACCCCCUGGKCCAACWCUGACGCUGAGGCACGAAAGCGUGKKKKAGCAWACAGGAUUAGAUACCCUGGUAKCCCACGCYCYAAACURUGUSAACUAKUUGUCGGAAAGCAAUUUYUUGGUAACGAAGCYCMCGCGUGAAGUUGAYCGCCUGGGGAGUACGSUCGCAAGAUUAARACUCAAASGAAUUGACGGAAGGCGAAUU
rnacentral:rRNA from 1 species